AGUUCAUGCCCCCCCUCGCUCAGUAGCCGCCGCAUCUGGAUGUGCUCCAGGUGCAUUCCGGCCGCCGCCAGAGCCGCGAGAUCAGGGAUGUCUGGAGAGCCGACGGGGCCGUGAGUACCGUGGCGGGGGGCGGGAGGCGGUGCACGUGAGCCGGGAGACGCAGAGGAGGAGCCGUGGGCGAGGGCGUUCCGCUGUCGGCCGGGAGCCUUCGGAGCUGUUGGGAGGAGCUGGGAAAGCUGAAUCCCCGCGCGAAAGCACCGGAGAUCGGAUCCCGUCGAGGGAGAAAAGGAGAGAAACGAGUGUUCAGGCAGUUGGCAAAGCCAAAAUCAAGUCCAAAAAAGGAAGACUAUCAAGAAGGCUUGUUUAGGCUCCUUUCAAGGCAGGACUACAGUAAACGCAUUCUGUUUAAGAACAUGCGCAUCCCAGGGCUGAACAACAAGAUACCUUCAUAGUCAAAGCAACCUUCAAGCCCGGAACCUUGGAGAAACUCCAGAGACAGUACAUGUCGUGAAGAAGAGGAAGAUGGAAGAAAGGGAUCUUGGGACCUCCAACUCAGUUUUCAGGGAGGCGUGUCAGAGGUGCAGAUUUGGGGAAGAUCUGGGGGCGGAUAGUUCUUGUAUUAGACCAUAAAUUGUAGAACUCCUGGACACGUGCCUUUGUACUCCUUGCUCCAGAGGGCCUUCAUUAAAGACCUGCUCUAUAUCUUGUCUAUACGAAUAAUUGCCUGUUGAGUCUUUUUCUCCCGAAUUUAGGCAACACUAACAUACAUGAGUUAAAAAGUGAUUUGGCCACAAGACUCACAAACCUACUGACUUUGGGAAGUUGAUCAUAUUAUCUUGGAACUGGAUUUCCGUGUACACAAGUGGGCUUGGUGCCCUGAGGCUGCUUGCUGGCAGCUGGAAAAAUCCAUUAGCUCCAGGCAGCAUCCUGCCAUCCAUGGGCUGAGCAUAGAAAGGGGCCCAAAAUGCCCUUGUGUGUAGUAACUCAAGUUCUACUUGUUGCUUACUGAGCUCAAACUUAGUUUCAUACAGAUCAAAGCCUAUCUUUGUUUAAGAUAAUGAAGUGUGAAGUAUCUAUUACUUUGUUGUUUACACUUUUCCAGAGAGAAGUAACUGGAAUAAAUUUGCUCCCUGCAUGGAACAGAAUUUGGGUUCUUGUUGUCAUUAGAUUGGCUUUCCAGUCUAUUAAAAAGGUGCUGUACAAGUCAGGCUUUAAACAGGUAGUUUAAGGUUAAGUACUUUAAUUUGAGUGCUGUGGUCAUCACAAUGACUUUCAAGAAGAAAAUCCAUCCACUGCAGAUUUUUUUGUUUGUUUUAUGAGAGCAACAGUCAAAUAAAGAGAAUAACUUGCUUGCUUUCUCAAAUUGUCUUAUAUAGCAUUGCAUUUCAGUCAACAGAACACUGAAGACCAGAGCUAACACAAAAACUACAGGAAAAAAUAUUUCAGAAAACAGGAGAAUAAUGUAUUUUUCCCAUUUAUCCUUAGUCCUUUUUUGAAAGAACUAAGUUGCAGCCUUUGGCAUACUUUCUAGCAGAAAUUUCUGUCAAAGCCAUUCCUAUUGAUGUUUUGAUCUUUCCCUUAUGCAACACACUUUGACAACUCUAUUUUUUUUUCUCAGAAUUGUCUAAUCAUUUCACUUUGUGGUCUUCAUUCUAAGUCAAAAAUGUUACGGCAUUGUUUUGAAUUUACUUUCAAAAGCUGCUGAUAAUAACCACAACAGCUGCCAAAACGUGCCAGCUGAGUUUUGUCAUAUUUAUUUCAGUCUUUGUAAAAGAUUCCUUUCUCAUUUGCAGUCUAUCCUUGUUGCAGUCAGUGGUUGGACUAGUUCGGCAGGAUUGCUGCAGCAAAAUAUCAAAAAGUCACCCAAAUGUGAAAAUAUUCAGGACAUUGAAUUGUGGUCUUCAGCUU